UACCGAGGGUGCGAGCGUUAAUCGGAAUUACUGGGCGUAAAGCGCACGUAGGCGGCUUGGUAUGUCGGGCGUGAAAUCCCCGGGCUCAACCUGGGAACUGCAUCCGAAACUGCCUUGCUAGAGUAUGGGAGAGGGAAGUGGAAUUUCCGGUGUAGCGGUGAAAUGCGUAGAUAUCGGAAGGAACAUCAGUGGCGAAGGCGACUUCCUGGACCAAGACUGACGCUCAGGUGCGAAAGCGUGGGGAGCAAACAGG
rnacentral:rRNA from 1 species